GGAUAAUUCUGUUGGAGGUUCAUGUGUGCCUGAAGCUUUUUGAAGUAUGCUAUUAAGAAUAAACUCCUAUGUUUAUUCCAAUGAGAGCCUACAGAUUCUGCAUCUUGAAUAUUUCAGAUGGGGAAAAAUAUUUGAGGAACAAUGACGAUUCAUAUCUUGUGAGAGCCUGGAGAGUAUCUGGGCAUCUCCAGAAGGGUGACUGAGAGAGAAGAUAUGAAACAACGUGGGAGAGCAGGAAGGAUGAACAGAAACUUUAUUUUCUCUGUUACUGAAAAAGACAAGGAGCAGGACGAAAGUACUGCUGUGUAGACAACAGAAAGGAUUGAAAGUGCGGUGCCACGAAAAGAAAGAGCAAAAGAACAAAAUCCGUGGUUUCUAAGAGCGUGUUUUUUGAUGCUCUCUAUUUCCAAAGCCGUGCCCAGGUGUUUGAAGCAGAGGAAGAAGCUCCUCCAUACCUCCGUACCGUGGCAGGGGGCGCUGUUAUGGAGAGGAGCCGGGCAUGAAGCAGGGCUGCGCGGCGCCUGGAAGCUGAGCUCCGCGCUCCGCCCCAUCGGAACCUGUCGGGGGUGAAGGGGCGGCGCUAUCGAGCACGGGAAGGUGCGAGUUUCACUACGUGAAUCUGCAGAGGCGUCGGUGGACCUCCGUUCUGAUCGAGUCCGUUCGGAGUCACUGCUGGGAGCAAGUGCAGUGUUCACGUUUAACUGAGCAGCCGAGCACAAAGUACAUAAUAAAGCCAGAGCAACACGUGCUCAAACAACAUAUUGUUUCCAAGCCAGAACUACUUUCCAUUUUUACCAGACAGCAUCACUUCAGAAGAGAAAACAAAGACACUGCAUUAUUACUUACAGAACUGAAGUCGUGGUAAUUCAUAAUGUGAUUUCAAAUAAAUAGUAAGUGUAAAGCCCCCACGCUAUUAACAAGCCAGAAAAUCACAUCCUAACUUCUUCAUGCGUUUCCUUUAUUAAGGCCUGUCCUGUUUAUCUCAAAAUGAUCACCUUGAAAGCACAGUUUUGAGUCAGGAAAAUUGAAUACGAAGUUGUUUUAAUACAAACAUCCAAACAACAAUUUUACAGUUAGUUACAUAUAAUCUUAAGAAAAUUUUUCCUGAGUAUUGCAGUGGGGAUUUUCCCCCCCCCCCCUUUUUAAAGCACUUUCUCAAUUCCACUUUUCCACUGAGACAGCAAAUUAUUUUGGAAGAUAGAAGAAAUAUUUCCAGUGAAAGAGCAUCUCCUGACAGCCCAACUUUUCAGUGCCUCCUUCAGUGCACUCAGCUCCUGCUGGGGUUAUUAACCCUCACGUUCACCCUGCGCUGUUUGCUGUGCAAACCUUCUCACAGUGCAGGUUUUGUGUGCACCUUGGAAACCUGUUCACUAGCAGCACUGGUGACAAUUGGUUUCUCUCAUAUGGGUCACUGACCAGACACCAGAUGGUGGAAACGUUCUGUUCCUGCUAAUCUGGCCUGGAGCUGGCAAUUCCGCCAGGGAAAAGCUUUAUCCCAUUACUAGUCGCCUGAGCCGUCCUGUCUCCUCCCUGAAGACUAAAGAUUACACAGUUAAUGUUCUUGAUGUUCCUACCACCCCCGCAAGUAUCCAGUGCACAUCACAGAUGUCUGCAGUGUAGGUGAGAGGGGAUCCAUAAGUGCCAGAACGCAGAAUGAAAUUUAAAUUCUACCUUCAGAGGAAUGACAAAGAAGCUCGGCUGGAAAAAUGAGAACAUUAACCAAGAUUGACUCUGUUACACAGCAGCUGGCAGGUAAAUGUUUGUUAAAGACAAAAUAUUGGGGAAAAUAAAAGUAAGCAACAAGAAAUGUAAUCUAGAAGAGGGCGUAGACGUUAUAGCAAGGAAAUGCAAACGUAGAAAGAAGAAAAUACCAGGAUGCAACUCACUUCUGCAGGUACUGGGAAACAAAAGAGCGAUCAGUGCAAAGCUACCCAGCUGGAAUGCCUGAAACAUUUCUGAACAGAACAAGACCUUUUCAAUGAACUCCUCCAUCCUAUUCUUACAGUUUUCUUUGCCUUCCUACAAGCACUUCUGUGCUGGGUCCUAAAUCACUAUUAACAUUUUAAUUUCAUACCAGAAAUUGCCAGAAAAAAAGACACCAAAAAAACUACUGUUACGUUUGUGGAGACACCCAGGAAUUAUACCCAAUUUGAAAUUCAAGGGAACUGAAAGGAAACAAUCCAGAGAAUACUUGAGAGUUUAUAUCCAAACUCAGUUCACUGCAAUUCCUUGUUUUUAAAAAUGCAAAUGUUUGUGUAAUAUCAUCAUAAGUUUCGAAUGUAUGUGAAUAUGCAAGGAGUUAGUAGGUUUUAUUUUUACAUUUAGGUAUGCUUAUAUUUCCAUCUGUUAGAACUGUAUGUACUUAGAUCUGUAUUCUUCCUUUUCUGCAGAAAAGCGUUAUUCAGAUUAGCUGCCGUGAUCUUGUAAAAUGCUAUUACUGUAUAAUUACUUGAAUCUGGUGAGAUUCAUUUCUAGCCUUCCACAGGACGCGACUAUUCAAACCUGCCAUAUGCUGCACGAACUCAUUCAGAAGGCAGCCAUGAAAUCAACCAUAUAAAACUGCCCUUGAGAAAGAGAUGGGAAAGAGCAGUAAACCUACGUCCUUGGUGGCACCUUCAGGUGCCUUUGUGUUCAUUUCCUCACUCAGUGUAUAACACAGCUCCAUGUAUGGCAGUUACAGAAAAUCUUACAGCAUAUGCACAAUGGUUAUUAUUAUCAAGAAUUAGCAUUGUUGGGUUGGGUUUGUUUGCUUUUUGUACAGCCAUAUUUCUGAAGUCUGCAAAUAUCCUUCAUUGGUCCAAAAAGGCUUCCUAUCACAUCACAUUCUUUAAAUAAUCAUGCACUUUUCUUUAACUUAUUCAUACCAACAAUAAUAAUAAGCAUUCUGGGGUAGAUGACAUAAAUUGGAGUCUCUCACAGAUAAUUUUUUCUUUGAAAAUACUUCAUUAGAUCUUGACUAAAAUCAGUUAAAGUUUAAAUUCAUUGCUAGUAAUUAUUCAAAAAGCAUGACAUUUGCUUUCUUCAGCUUCAACAACAUUUCUCUUCCGGCUAAAUACUUGUUUUUAUGCCACUGUAGCAGAUUUUGAUCACAGGAUUAAAACAAGCAAUAGUGGAGAGGUACCACUUUAUUCAUGGAAGCUUCCAGCACUUUAAAAAUAUCUUGGAAAUGUACUGGCACUCCUGUUCUAUCACUAUGCAGGACGGGGCAGCACUGGCUGUUCUUCUGUCAACAGAAUUUAUAUACAUUAUACAAUUAAAAAAUGGAA